rnacentral:sRNA from 1 species
UCCAGGAAAGAAGGAUGGUGAGAUGGACCGGAACUUUGACACGCUAGACCUGCCCAAGCGAACUGAGGCCGCCAAAGAUUCUGGGUGACCGUGGGUGGUGGUUGCCCUGCACCUAGGCUUUGAGCUGCUGUACCAGCCCGAGGUGGUACGUCUCUACCUCUCCCUCCUCACGGAGAGCCGGAACUUCAACACCCUGGAGGCUGCCGCCGGCGCUCUGCAGAACCUCAGUGCCGGCAACUGGAUGUGGGCCACGUACAUCCGCGCCACAGUGCGCAAAGAGCGCGGGCUGCCGGUGCUUGUGGAACUGCUGCAGUCUGAGACCGACAAGGUGGUGCGCGCCGUCGCCAUCGCUCUGCGCAACCUCUCGCUGGACCGGCGCAACAAAGACCUCAUCGGGAGCUACGCCAUGGCCGAGCUUGUGCGGAAUGUGCGCAAUGCACAGGCUCCGCCGCGACCGGGGGCCUGCCUGGAGGAAGACACCGUGGUGGCGGUGCUCAACACCAUCCACGAAAUCGUGUCCGACAGCCUGGAUAACGCGCGCUCGCUCCUGC